rnacentral:rRNA from 1 species
GACGAACGCUGGCGGCGUGCUUAACACAUGCGAGUCGAACGGAAAGGCCCUGCUUUUGUGGGGUGCUCGAGUGGCGAACGGGUGGGUAACACGUGAGUAACCUGCCCUUGACUUUGGGAUAACUUCAGGAAACUGGGGCUAAUACCGGAUAGGAGCUCCUGCUGCAUGGUGGGGGUUGGAAAGUUUCGGCGGUUGGGGAUGGACUCGCGGCUUAUCAGCUUGUUGGUGGGGUAGUGGCUUACCAAGGCUUUGACGGGUAGCCGGCCUGAGAGGGUGACCGGCCACAUUGGGACUGAGAUACGGCCCAGACUCCUACGGGAGGCAGCAGUGGGGAAUAUUGCACAAUGGGCGGAAGCCUGAUGCAGCAACGCCGCGUGCGGGAUGACGGCC